UACGUAGGGUGCAAGCGUUAAUCGGAAUUACUGGGCGUAAAGCGUGCGCAGGCGGUUUUGUAAGUCUGACGUGAAAUCCCCGGGCUCAACCUGGGGAUUGCGUUGGAGACUGCAAGGCUAGAAUCUGGCAGAGGGGGGUAGAGUUCCACGUGUAGCAGUGAAAUGCGUAGAGAUGUGGAGGAACACCGAUGGCGAAGGCAGCCCCUGGGUCAAGAUUGACGCUCAUGCACGAAAGCGUGGGGAGCAAACAGGAUUAGAUANCC
rnacentral:rRNA from 1 species